rnacentral:rRNA from 1 species
GACGAACGCUGGCGGCGUGCUUAACACAUGCAAGUCGAACGGAAAGGCCCCUUUGUUGGUACUCGAGUGGCGAACGGGUGCGUAACACGUGCGUAACCUGCCCUUGACUUCGGGAUAACGUCAACAAACUGGGGCUAAUACCGGAUAGGAAUCCUAACUGCAUGGUGGGGGUUGGAAAGCUUCGGCGGUUUUGGAUAGACUCGCGGCUUAUCAGCUCGUUGGUGGGUUAGUGGCUUACCAAGUCGUUGACCGGUAGCCGGCCUGAGAGGGCGACCGGCCACCUUGCGCCUGCGGGACGGCCCAGACUGGUAUGUUAGGCAGUAGUCGGGAAUAUUGCAGAACGAGCGCGAGCCUGAUGAAGAAGCUCUCCGUGCGGAAUGCCCGCUUUCGGGUUGAAAACCGUGUUGAGAAGGGGAGAAGCAUGUGGUGACGGUACCUGCACAGAAAGCAACGGCUAACUACGUG